rnacentral:rRNA from 1 species
GAUGAACGCUGGCGGCGUGCCUAAUACAUGCAAGUCGAGCGAACGGACGAGAAGCUUGCUUCUCUGAUGUUAGCGGCGGACGGGUGAGUAACACGUGGAUAACCUACCUAUAAGACUGGGAUAACUUCGGGAAACCGGAGCUAAUACCGGAUAAUAUUUUGAACCGCAUGGUUCAAAAGUGAAAGACGGUCUUGCUGUCACUUAUAGAUGGAUCCGCGCUGCAUUAGCUAGUUGGUAAGGUAACGGCUUACCAAGGCAACGAUGCAUAGCCGACCUGAGAGGGUGAUCGGCCACACUGGAACUGAGACACGGUCCAGACUCCUACGGGAGGCAGCAGUAGGGAAUCUUCCGCAAUGGGCGAAAGCCUGACGGAGCAACGCCGCGUGAGUGAUGAAGGUCUUCGGAUCGUAAAACUCUGUUAUUAGGGAAGAACAUAUGUGUAAGUAACUGUGCACAUCUUGACGGUACCUAAUCAGAAAGCCACGGCUAACUACGUGCCAGCAGCCGCGGUAAUACGUAGGUGGCAAGCGUUAUCCGGAAUUAUUGGGCGUAAAGCGCGCGUAGGCGGUUUUUUAAGUCUGAUGUGAAAGCCCACGGCUCAACCGUGGAGGGUCAUUGGAAACUGGAAAACUUGAGUGCAGAAGAGGAAAGUGGAAUUCCAUGUGUAGCGGUGAAAUGCGCAGAGAUAUGGAGGAACACCAGUGGCGAAGGCGACUUUCUGGUCUGUAACUGACGCUGAUGUGCGAAAGCGUGGGGAUCAAACAGGAUUAGAUACCCUGGUAGUCCACGCCGUAAACGAUGAGUGCUAAGUGUUAGGGGGUUUCCGCCCCUUAGUGCUGCAGCUAACGCAUUAAGCACUCCGCCUGGGGAGUACGACCGCAAGGUUGAAACUCAAAGGAAUUGACGGGGACCCGCACAAGCGGUGGAGCAUGUGGUUUAAUUCGAAGCAACGCGAAGAACCUUACCAAAUCUUGACAUCCUUUGACAACUCUAGAGAUAGAGCUUUCCCCUUCGGGGGACAAAGUGACAGGUGGUGCAUGGUUGUCGUCAGCUCGUGUCGUGAGAUGUUGGGUUAAGUCCCGCAACGAGCGCAACCCUUAAGCUUAGUUGCCAUCAUUAAGUUGGGCACUCUAAGUUGACUGCCGGUGACAAACCGGAGGAAGGUGGGGAUGACGUCAAAUCAUCAUGCCCCUUAUGAUUUGGGCUACACACGUGCUACAAUGGACAAUACAAAGGGCAGCGAAACCGCGAGGUCAAGCAAAUCCCAUAAAGUUGUUCUCAGUUCGGAUUGUAGUCUGCAACUCGACUACAUGAAGCUGGAAUCGCUAGUAACCGUAGAUCAGCAUGCUACGGUGAAUACGUUCCCGGGUCU